GCGGACGUGGUGCACGGUGCACCGCUGCCUUCAAUGGGUCCUGUUUCGAAAAUAUUGAGCAGCUGAUGGGGUUCGACUCCCUGCGUCCGCC